rnacentral:miRNA from 1 species
UAUAUGUGUGUGUGUGUGUGUGUGUGUGUGUGUGUAUAGAUAUGCAUAUAUAUAGACACCCAAAUAAACACACACACAUAUACACACUCACAUACAUAUA